rnacentral:sRNA from 1 species
UCGCCUGCACCGCCGCCGCGCCCCAUUGGGCCGGGUGCUGGGGCAUCCCGGGCGCUGGGUGCCCCGGCCACGACGAGCCCCAGGUGGGGCCGGGCUCCAGGCCCGCGGAGGAGCGGAGCCGUGCGCGGCAGACGGACUCCGUGACUCCGGGUGGGGAACGCCGGGCUGGCGCCGGGACUUCCGCCACGGGACCCGGAAGGGGCCGCGCCACCGCUGCUGGGAGUUGUAGUCCGGCCGUGGUUGGGGGAGCCGCGGCUCAUGCGCGGUGCACAGAGGCUUGUUUCACAUCUGUAACAACAGGAGGAGGCCCAGCCUCGUGAUGAGGAAUAGCAAGGAGAGAAUUCAGCUCCAGUUCAAAAGCCUACAAAAUCUGAGACUGUCAUUGCUUUUAUAAGGAUUCCAGCUUUCCCUCCUGGCCAGAAAUGUUCAGCCUGGACUCAUUCAGAAAAGCAUCCCUGGAUGUGAAUGAGGACCCUCCUUAAACAGGAAUGGAGAGGUUGAGCUGGUCAUUUCCAACCUUAGCUUCAAGGCAGAACUGGAAUUAGUUUCAAAAUAAACCUUGAUCCUAGGCACUUAGUUCUAGAAGAUCCUACAAGCACGUCUGCUGUAACCCUAUGUAUGUUUUCUGUAAAAUCACAUACCUAUAAAAUAAAAAGAAAAAAAUCACACAUCUAUAAUAUUAUAAGAGAGCUUAUGGGAAAAAUAGAAUUGGGCCAAUGCAACUGCAGCUUUGUGACCAAAAUAUGACAAAAACAAUUAUUGGUGCUUGGGAAGAUGCUUUGGACCACCUAGACAGGCAGCUCAGGGUGAUGUGAUGCUGCAAAUGUACAAAGAGCCGUCUUCUUUUUUUUUUUGAGACGGAGUCUUGUUCUGUGGCCAGGCUGGAAUGCAAUGGCACGAUCUCAGCUCACUGCACCCUCUGCCUCCCGGGUUCAAGUGAUUCUCGUGCCUCAGCCUCCUGAGUAGCUGGGACUACAGGCACACGCCACCACGCCCUGCCAAUUUUUGUAUUUUUAGUAGAGACGGGGUUUCACCAUGUUGGCCAGGAUGGUCUCGAUCUCUUGACCUCGUGAUCCACUGGCCUCAGCCUCCCAAAGUGCUGGGAUUAUAGGCGUGAGCCACCGCGCCGGGCUACAAAGAGCCUUCUAAUGCGAGCAGAGCUGGCAGUUACCGAGGAAGCCCAGGUGGAGGUGGAGUUCUGAAACAGCCACUGUGGUAAAGGAGUGUGUGCAGCUGGGACUGUGGGGGAGGAGGGUUGGAGUGCAGGACUUGCUUCCCCCCCAACAUUUUGUUGUGAAAAAUUUCAAAAAUACUGAAACAUUGAAGAAAUUGUAUAGUGAACACCUUUGUAUCUACCACCUUGAUUCUCUAUAGGUAUAGGCACUCAAUUUUAAUAAAAAAAAAAAUAGCUGAAAGGGCUUUUUCUUUCCUGCUGAAGAUUAUAAUUCUA